rnacentral:rRNA from 1 species
AAUAUUGGUCAAUGGGCGAUUGCCGGAACCAGCCAAGUAGCGUGAAGGAUGACUGCCCUAUGGGUUGUAAACUUCUUUUAUAAAGGAAUAAAGUCGUGUAUGCAUACUCGUUUGCAUGUACUUUAUGAAUAAGGAUCGGCUAACUCCGUGCCAGCAGCCGCGGUAAUACGGAGGAUCCGAGCUUUUUCCGGAUUUAUUGGGUUUAAAGGGAGCGGAGAUGGAUGGUUAAGUCAGUUGUGAAAGUUUGCGGCUCAACCGUAAAAUUGCAGUUGAUACUGGAUGUCUUGAGUGCAGUUGAGGCAGGCGGAAUUCGUGGUGUAGCGGUGAAAUGCUUAGAUAUCACGAAGAACUCCGAUUGCGAAGGCAGCCUGCUACGCUGCAUCUGACAUUGAGGCUCGAAAGUGUGGGUAUCAAACAGGAU